UUAUUUCAAUAAUAAUUUAACAAUCCUCUUAACAAUUUCUAUAACAUAGUCGGGUAUUCUGUAUGGAAAAAAAACAAGACGAUUUAAUGCCGUUUACCCAUCUCUCGCUCUAAGAGAUCAGCAUUGAGGACAGAGUUACUAGCACCUUAGUCGUUAAGAAAUGGGGAAAUGAUCUAAUAAGAAGAGGGUGGUCAACGUUGAUUGUUAUGAAGAAACCUAAUCGGAAUAUCGGGAACUUAAAAUUUUACUCCUUAGUCUUCAGGAGCCCAGCGGUGGCUGAUACAUCGGCUAUAGUCAAGGACCCAGGCGUUUUCACAUUUUCCUUUCAAUUUCCGUCCAAAUGACCAAAUGAUACAGUUAGUUGAAAAAAAUAUGAGCG